UUUGGCUAGAAAGUUUGUUUUUUUUUGUUUUUUGCUUUUUCCUUUUUAAAAAUUCCCUUACCCUUUUCAGCCUCAGUGAGCCCUCCCCCACGACUGCUCUGCAUCAUAUCCCAGCGGUCUUCAGCUCUGCCCGAAGUGCCGUCCGACCACCCCGCAGUCGUGUGCCUUCCACCAACGUCAGAACACUGCCGCUGCUACCGACCGGCGCCGUCCUCCACGUUUCUGCGUGUCAGACUGUCCAGUCCGCUCGGUCUCCGUUCCUCACAGAUCUACAACGCCGACGAUCGUCUCUGGUUGACGCCGUAGCACGUCGCUGCCGUGGGGAGCGUCGCUAAGUGCCGUCACCGCUACCUUGGGUUAUUUCCGGAAUCUUGAUUUUAGGUUGGAAUCUUGAAAGAAGUUUUGGAAGUGGGUUGGAUUCAGCCACAUUUUGGGUUGGACUUUGGACAAUGCUUUCUGGAGUGAAAAUUAUUGCUCGGGAUAAAGUUAUUGAGAGUAAUGAGAAACAAAAAGAUAGGGGGAAGUCAACUCGUUACAGUAGUUCAGAUGAGGAGUAUCAUAACACGAAAAAGAAGAAAUUUGAGAGGAAGAAAUUGGAAUCAUCCAAGGACUAUUCAACAUCUUCAACUGAUAGUGAGAUGAUUGAAGACUCUCGCUGGGAUGAGAAGAAACAUCGUUCAAGAAGAGCAAGUAAGAGGAACAAGAAUAACAGUUCAUCUGAAAAUGAUGGUAGAGUGAAAAUGAAAUCAAGGAGUGACAGGAACACUUUGGCUGGGGAGUAUUCUUCAUCUAGUUAUAGUGAUAAGAACUCUAGUGAUAGUCGUGAGAAGAGACGGAAACGUAGUAGAAGAGAUGAUAGAAAACAGGGUAAGAAAAGAAAAAGUCAACACCUUAGAGAAGAUAUGUUUGAUGGCAUCAGAGACACUUCUAAAGAUGACAAAGAAAUUGUUAGAAAAGAAAUGGGGUUGGAAUGGAUGCUUAAACCCCAAGAAAAGAUGCAGAAAGGCUUAGAUGAGUGUGUUGAUAACCAACAAGAAGAAGAAGCUCUUGAGGAAAUAAAUAAGGUCAAUCCCAGGGAAUUAAAUCCAUAUUUUAAAGAAAAUGGAACUGGUUAUCCGGAGGACAGUGAUAGACUCAAAUCAGAUAUAGAUAAACUUCCACCACCUCGGGUUGUUGGGGAUGGGGGGGCUAGUUGGAGACUUAAAGCAUUGAAGCGGGCUGAGGAGCAAGCAGCUCGAGAUGGACGGAGACUUGAAGAGGUUGUUGAAGAACGUUGGGGUUCUCUUGGCCAACUUGCUGUCUCUGUAGCAGCCAGUAAGGUGGCACCGUCACGUUCUCAUUUGCAUGCUAUAAGAAAUAGAAAGAGAGGGCUAACCAGUCAUCAACCAUCAGACGGUCAAAAUGAAAGUGAUUCUGGAAAGAGCUCUGCCAGGGACCACUUGAAGGACAUCUCUUCCAGAAAUCCUGAAAUGAGGGAGCCUAAAGUUCGAGAUUCUUUAUCAUGGGGAAAGCAAAAAGGUCAAAAUGUUUCUUCAAGGGAUGCUGGCUUCAUUUCUGUAGCAGUGUCCAGUUUAAAUAAGUUCUCAGAUGAUGGAAGCUUUGCAUCUGAAUUUCUCAGACAACAACGUGAAAAUACUAAAGGUGAUUCAAUUGAGACAAAGGUGAAAUCAGAAUUGGUUGUCUCAACAUCAGAGAAGCACAUUGAAGAUUGUGCUUCGGCCAAGGAUGCAAUGAGUGCAAACCAGUUGGCUGCAAAGGCAUUUCAGCUUCAAAUAAAAGGAAAACAUGAAGAAGCUCAAAAGCUUUUGCAAGAAGUACAAAAUAUGAAGGCAACCAAUAGUGUUGAAGUGAAUCCCACAAAGCCACAAGUUGAACGAAUCUCUGCUAGAAAACAUUUUCCAGGUAUAUCUAAGAGGAAUAAGGAGGAUGAUACAGAUCUUUAUCUAGCUAAAAAUAUAAUGCAGAACAAGCAGUACAGCAUGUCUGGUCGGGCAGAUGAUGAAUAUGAUUAUGAACAUGCAAGAAGAACGAAUCAAAGAAAAAGGGAAAGUAAUGAUGAUAAGCUAUCUGCAAAGGAUAUUCGUCCAAGGCAUAUGGCAACUCAGGAAGAACGCUGCAUCUUUUGCUUUGAAAAUCCUAACAGGCCAAAACAUUUGACAGUGUCAAUUGCAAAUUACACUUAUUUGAUGCUGCCUCAGUGGCAGCCUGUGGUUUCUGGCCAUUGCUGCAUUUUACCUAUUUCACAUGAAUCAGCCUCAAGAGGUGUGGAUAAAACCGUGUGGGAGGAAAUUCGCAACUUCAAAAAGUGUCUGAUAAUGAUGUUUGCAAAGCAAGACAAAGAUGUGGUUUUUCUUGAAACAGUUGUGGGCUUGGCAAAACAACGUCGCCAUUGUAUGAUUGAGUGCAUUCCUUUGCCUCAAGGAAUAGCAAAAGAGGCUCCUCUAUAUUUUAAAAAGGCUAUUGAUGAAGUAGAGGAAGAAUGGAGCCAGCACAAUGCGAAAAAACUUAUAGAUACAAGUGAGAAGGGAUUGCGUGGAUCAAUCCCAGAGAAUUUUCCAUACUUCCAUGUUGAAUUUGGGUUGAACAAGGGGUUUGUGCAUGUGAUAGAUGACGAAAAUAAUUUCAAGACCGGCUUUGGGCUCAAUGUUAUAAGAGGCAUGUUGCAGCUAGCCGAGGAGGAUAUGCACCGACGCCGUAGAUACGAGUCUGUUGAGGUGCAAAAGCAUGCGAUGACAAACUUUUUAAAAGAUUGGGAGCCUUAUGAUUGGACAAAACAAUUAUGAAUUGUCUGUAAUUUUAUUGCUACUGUAUUUAACUUUAAAUAUAGUGUAAAUUAUCAGGGGUCUCAAAUGCGUUUCAAGGUCAAGCAUGCAGCAAGCUCUCAACCAAAAGCAAGGGUUUGAUGAGAUGGAAAAACAAGUGAGCUCGCCAAAGUCGAGUGGUAUUUGCAAUUUGGACAUUGGUCUAUGCAAUCCGAAUUGGGCUUCUGAAAUGGCGAAACAUAAGUUCUUAAUGCCUGCGGAGGUGUUGCUUUUCUGCAUAUCUUUGAUUCAUCCUUUAAUGUUGUAUUUGGUGAAUCAAAUAGCAUGAUCUAGUGAUGAACCAUUUUGAUCGGUUAAUAAUAGGUUCAAAUUGGGGUUUCUUAAAAAAUAAAAUAAAACACAAAAAUAUUUGCAUCCUAUUGAAAAAGGAAAAAAUUAAUAACAAGAAUACUUUGCUAUUAA